UACGUAGGGUGCGAGCGUUGUCCGGAAUUAUUGGGCGUAAAGAGCUUGUAGGCGGUUUGUCGCGUCUGCUGUGAAAAUCCGGGGCUCAACCCCGGACUUGCAGUGGGUACGGGCAGACUGGAGUGUGGUAGGGGAGACUGGAAUUCCUGGUGUAGCGGUGGAAUGCGCAGAUAUCAGGAGGAACACCGAUGGCGAAGGCAGGUCUCUGGGCCGCAACUGACGCUGAGGAGCGAAAGCGUGGGGAGCGAACAGG
rnacentral:rRNA from 1 species